CCUACGUGAGGCAGCAGUGAGGAAUAUUGGUCAAUGGGCGGAAGCCUGAACCAGCCAAGUAGCGUGCAGGAUGACGGCCCUACGGGUUGUAAACUGCUUUUAUCCGGGAAUAACGCGCCUUACGUGUAGGGCUUUGCAUGUACCGUAUGAAUAAGGACCGGCUAAUUCCGUGCCAGCAGCCGCGGUAAUACGGAAGGUACGGGCGUUAUCCGGAUUUAUUGGGGUUAAAGGGAGCGUAGGCCGCAUGUCAAGCGUGCUGUGAAAUGUCCGGGCUCCACCCGGGCCUUGCAGCGCGAACUGGCAGGCUUGAGUCCGCGGAAAGCAGGCGGAAUGCGUCGUGUAGCGGUGAAAUGCUUAGAUAUGACGAAGAACCCCGAUUGCGAAGGCAGCUUGCUGCAGCGGAACUGACGCUGAGGCACGAAAGCGCGGGUAUCGAACAGGAUUAGAUACCCGGGUAGUC
rnacentral:rRNA from 1 species